rnacentral:rRNA from 1 species
GAAGACGACGACGUUGAUAGGUCGGGUGUGUAAGUGUAGCGAUACAUUGAGCUAACCGAUACUAAUGAACCGUGAGGCUUAACCUUACAACGCCGAAG